rnacentral:tRNA from 1 species
GGGCACUUAGCUCAGUGGUAGAGCGACUCGUUUACACCGAGUAGGCCGGGGGUUCAAUCCCCUCAGUGCCCACAA